UACAAUGGAGAGUUUGAUCCUGGCUCAGGAUGAACGCUAGCUACAGGCUUAACACAUGCAAGUCGAGGGGAAACGGCGUUGAGUGCUUGCACUCUUCGGACGUCGACCGGCGCACGGGUGAGUAACGCGUAUCCAACCUUCCCAUAACUAAGGGAUAACCUGCCGAAAGGCAGACUAAUACCUUAUGUAAUUCUUCGAUGACAUCAGAAGAGAAUGAAAGAUUUAUCGGUUAUGGAUGGGGAUGCGUCUGAUUAGCUUGUUGGCGGGGUAACAGCCCACCAAGGCGACGAUCAGUAGGGGUUCUGAGAGGAAGGUCCCCCACAUUGGAACUGAGACACGGUCCAAACUCCUACGGGAGGCAGCAGUGAGGAAUAUUGGUCAAUGGGCGAGAGCCUGAACCAGCCAAGUAGCGUGCAGGAUGACGGCCCUAUGGGUUGUAAACUGCUUUUGUAUGGGGAUAAAGUCAAUCACGUGUGAUUGUUUGCAGGUACCAUACGAAUAAGGACCGGCUAAUUCCGUGCCAGCAGCCGCGGU
rnacentral:rRNA from 1 species